AUUGAACGCUGGCGGCAGGCUUAACACAUGUAAGUCGAGCGGGGUGAUGGUGCUUGCACUAUCACUUAGCGGCGGACGGGUGAGUAAUGCUUGGGAAUCUGCCUAUUAGUGGGGGACAACAUCUCGAAAGGGAUGCUAAUACCGCAUACGUCCUACGGGAGAAAGCAGGGGAUCACUUGUGACCUUGCGCUAAUAGAUGAGCCUAAGUCGGAUUAGCUAGUUGGUGGGGUAAAGGCCUACCAAGGCGACGAUCUGUAGCGGGUCUGAGAGGAUGAUCCGCCACACUGGGACUGGGACACGGCCCAGACUCCUACGGGAGGCAGCAGUGGGGAAUAUUGGACAAUGGGGGGAACCCUGAUCCAGCCAUGCCGCGUGUGUGAAGAAGGCCUUAUGGUUGUAAAGCACUUUAAGCGAGGAGGAGGCUCUUUUGGUUAAUACCCAGGGAUAGUGGACGUUACUCGCAGAAUAAGCACCGGCUAACUCUGUGCCAGCCGCCGCCGUAA
rnacentral:rRNA from 1 species